rnacentral:rRNA from 1 species
CCGGACANAGGGAGGCGGACGCGCGAGCGCGAGCGGACCCCAAAAAACGGACCCCCCACGUUCGGACUGCAGCCUGCAACCCGGCUGCACGAAGCCGGAAUCGCUAGUAAUCGCGGAUCAGAACGCCGCGGUGAAUACGUUCCCGGGUCUUGUACACACCGCCCGUCACACCAUGGGAGCCUGGAAUGCCCGAAGCCGGUGGCCGAACCGAGAGGGCGGAGCCGCCUAAGGCAGGCCCGGUGACUGGGGUGAAGUCGUAACAAGGUAAC